UGUAGGUAGUGGUAUUCAGAAGAUAUUGAAGGUGUGGCCACAGACCAGUGUCCUGCCCCCUCAGAUUCACUACUUGAUGUUAGCACCAAUCCCAGUACAGAUUGGACUCAAUAGGUCAAUGGAAAUCAAAGAGAGGGACAGAAUGGGGACAUCAAAUUUAUUCUAUCAAAGGAUGUGGUAUCUUGUGAGGCCAGUCAUUCCCUGGCAGAGUGUGUCUUACUGGGUGUCUGGUCUAUGACUAUUGAGCUAUUGGGACGGGUCUCUCCUGAGUCAGUUGGCAAACUCAAGCACUCAAUAUUCAACCAGUUGCAAGAUGUUUCUUGAAUGGGAGGAGACUCUGUUGUUGCUAUGGCAAGUUCAUUUAGGCUCUGAUGAGGACUUUAUUAAUGGACAAUAUUAUUG